rnacentral:pre_miRNA from 1 species
AAUUCAACUGAAAAAGUCAUUAACAUAAAAGUUGUCGAACUCAUAAAAAAAAUAACUUUUAUUUCGAUCAUUCCUUCAUCCGACAAAGUGAUAGUAACAUUGUUCACAAAAUUUACAUAUAUCUCUUAUAGUUUAUAAAACUAUAUGAGAAAUAUGUAAAAUUCGUGAACAAUAUUACUAUCACUUCAUCGGAUGAAGAAAUGAGCAAAAUAAAAGUUAUAGGUCUUGAUGAGUUAUACAACUUUAUUGUCGAUGACUUUUUCAGUUGAAAUC